AUUGAACGCUGGCGGCCGGCCUAACACAUGCAAGUCGAACGAGUGGCGGACGGGUGAGUAAUGUCUGGGAAACUGCACGAUGGAGGGGGAUAACUACUGGAAACGGUAGCUAAUAACGCAUACCAUCGGAUGUGCCCAGAUGGGAGUAGCUGGUAGGUGAGGUAACGGCUCACCUAGGCGACGAUCCCUAACUGGUCUGAGAGGAUGACCAGCCACACUGGAAAUGAGACACGGUCCAUACGCCUACGUGAGGCAGCAGGUGGGAAUAGUGCACAAGUGUCUGAAGCCGGAUACAGCCAGGGCGCGUGUAUGAAGAAUGCCUUCGUGUUGGAAAGUACUUUCAGCGGGGAGGCGUUACCCGCAGCAGAAGCACCGGCUAACUCCGUGCCAGCAGCCGCGGUAAUUC
rnacentral:rRNA from 1 species